CCAGGCUGAAGACUUUUGCCGGAUUAGCUGAGAGGUGGUGCAUUGGCCGUCGUCAGUUCGUACUGUGAAGCAUCCUGUUAAGUCAGGCAACGAGCGAGACCCACGCCCACAGUUGCCAGCGUACUCUCUGGAGUGACGGGUACACUGUGGGACCGCCGCUGCUAAAGCGGAGGAAGGAAUGGGCAACGGUAGGUCAGUAUGCCCCGAAUAUCCCGGGCUACACGCGAGCUACAAUGGUUGGUACAAUGGGUAUCUACCCCGAAAGGGGACGGGAAUCUCCUAAAACCAAUCUUAGUUCGGAUUGAGGGCUGCAACUCGCCCUCAUGAAGCUGGAAUCCGUAGUAAUCGCGUUUCAACAGAACGCGGUGAAUACGUCCCUGCUCCUU
rnacentral:rRNA from 1 species